rnacentral:rRNA from 1 species
UGCCGCGUGCAGGAUGACGGUCCUAUGGAUUGUAAACUGCUUUUAUACGAGAAGAAACACUCCUUCGUGAAGGAGCUUGACGGUAUCGUAAGAAUAAGGAUCGGCUAACUCCGUGCCAGCAGCCGCGGUAAUACGGAGGAUCCAAGCGUUAUCCGGAAUCAUUGGGUUUAAAGGGUCCGUAGGCGGUUUAGUAAGUCAGUGGUGAAAGCCCAUCGCUCAACGGUGGAACGGCCAUUGAUACUGCUAGACUUGAAUUAUUAGGAAGUAACUAGAAUAUGUAGUGUAGCGGUGAAAUGCUUAGAGAUUACAUGGAAUACCAAUUGCGAAGGCAGGUUACUACUAAUAUAUUGACGCUGAUGGACGAAAGCGUGGGUAGCGAACAGGAUUAGAUACCCUGGUAGUCCACGCCGUAGACGAUGGAUACUAGCUGUUGGGAGCAAUCUCAGUGGCUAAGCGAAAGUGAUAA